ensembl:lncRNA
CUCUCCCGCUGGGAGAGGACCCUCUUCUCACACAAUCCCAGCCCUGCAGGGCGUAAGGGACGCUGACUGCUGUGCCCUCUGCGGAUGGAAAGGACCCCAGGUUUUCUCCCCCGGGAACAAGGCAAGCGCAGUGCGACUGCGCUGUGUUCUGGCGCCACAUCCUCGCGCUUCGUCCGCCGUCCGCCUUGCAAGGCACUCCUGUCCUCGGGCUGAGCUACUGGUCCAGGAUGAACAAACAUGUUGACUUCCAGAAACAUCCUGACCAGGCCUACUUUGUGUGAAUGCCUGCAGCAAGGAAGAAAUUAAUGCAUCCCCUCCAGAGGCUGACGGGAACCAGGAACUAUUUGACUUUCCCUCCUCUUUCAGUAUAAAAGAAGGCUGAAUUCUAACUCAGGCAAGAUGUUUCUUUGAGACACAAGUCCACCAUCUUCUUGGUCUCCUGGCUUUGUCCAACAACACAUCUCUCAAUUUAUUACACUGUUGUGCGGUGAACAGUACAAGCUUGGACUCAAUAACAAACGUACUUGAACUUUCGAGCCUUCAUUUUUCUUCUGCAUGUGAAAGUGUGUGAAAGUAUUAAUUGCUCAGUCAUAUCCAACUACUUGUGAUCUCAUGGACUAUAGCCCGCCAGGCUCCUCUAUCCAUGGGAUUCUCCAGGCAAGAAUACUAGAGUGGAUUACCAUUCCCUUCUCCAGGGAAUGGCAGUGAUCAAACCUGGGUCUCCUGCAUUGCAGCUGUAUUCUUUAACAUCUGAGCAAUCUGGGAAGCCCUUUUCUUCUGUAUAGUGGAUGUCAAAUAACUGAAAGACUUGCAAUGAUGAUAGGAAAUAACAUGUAUAAGUGCUUAGAACAGUGUCUGGUUCAUGGUUGGUAAUUAAAAAUACAUGCUUAUUCCAUCCCCACCAACUUCCAGAGCUCUUAAUAUUGGCAAACAAUAGAGUCCACCAUGCUCAGAGCAAAUUCCUCUUAAAUGAUUCCAGCAUAUGAGUCUUUUUCUUUUUUUUUCUCUGAAUGUCUUUUUAAUGUUUGUAAGAGUUUGAUUCUAAUACAUUAAAAUUAUGAGUCAUUUGUUAGAGGAUAACUGGAAAAGAAGGAAAGUUUAGAAAUUGAAAACAAAGAUACAAGAGUAGAGAUUUUGCAACCAAACUUUAGGAAAUAAAAUCAGCUAAGAGAAAGGAAACCAGGUUCUUAAAAUUUGACUUCUUUGUGGGAGAGGAGAGAAACAAGCUGUGUCAAUGAGGUUGGGAGGAUUUCAUAGUCAGUAUUAUGACCCUAUUACCAGAUGUGUUACUGCAACUUGCAUAAGGCCUUUUCUAGUUCAAAAAUCCUAAUUUCUAGAAACACUGCAAAAUCUGGAAUGUGGGAAUAAAAAUUAUACAAUUUAAAGUAUUUUGAGUAUUUGAAUGGAGAAUUAACUAUAGAAUGAGUAUCAUCAUUACUUGUAAGGAGAUAUGAAAAUAAAGCCAUCUGAUUAAAUGUUUGAGAAGGAAAUCCUAGCAAACAAAGCAUUAUAUCCAAAAACUAAUUGUAUAGUGUUCAUUAUUACUGGUUUGAGCAAAGAAAAAUACCAAUAAUGCUUAUCAUUCGUUGUGCUAUUUUAGAGGAUAUAAAAAUAUGUCCAAAGCUUUUAUAAAUUCUAUCUGUGACCUCUGUCCCAGUAAUCCUAUUUUUUUCCUACAGAUCUUAAGUUCCUCAGCUGUGGAUUUUCUACCCUUCAAAGUAGGAAACUAAUUCUCACCAUCCGAGGAACCACUAAGUUCCUCAUGUUAUCUAUGUACUUCAGGUGCCUCGGAGAGAAGUUUUCUGACACUUGAUUGCAACGUCUCAUGGAAGUUUUAAAAUUCUGUGACUGUGAUGAAGGACACUUUGAAUGAGUUGCUCUCCACUGUUUUGGGUGUUCAAUAC